rnacentral:piRNA from 1 species
UGGCUCUAACAUUCAAGUGAAGUAAAUG